CCUACGGGUGGCUGCAGUGAGGAAUAUUGGUCAAUGGACGAGAGUCUGAACCAGCCAAGUAGCGUGAAGGAUGACUGCCCUAUGGGUUGUAAACUUCUUUUAUAUGGGAAUAAAAUGUUCCACGUGUGGGAUUUUGUAUGUACCAUAUGAAUAAGGCUCGGCUAACUCCGUGCCAGCAGCCGCGGUAAUACGGAGGAUCCGAGCGUUAUCCGGAUUUAUUGGGUUUAAAGGGAGCGUAGGUGGAAUGUUAAGUCAGUUGUGAAAGUUUGCGGCUCAACCGUAAAAUUGCAGUUGAAACUGGCAGUCUUGAGUACAGUAGAGGUGGGCGGAAUUCGUGGUGUAGCGGUGAAAUGCUUAGAUAUCACGAAGAACUCCGAUUGCGAAGGCAGUUCACUGGACUGCAACUGACACUGAGGCUCGAAAGUGUGGGUAUCAAACAGGAUUAGAUACCCGAGUAGUC
rnacentral:rRNA from 1 species